rnacentral:rRNA from 1 species
GACGAACGCUGGCGGCGUGCCUAAUACAUGCAAGUUGAGCGAUGAAGAUUGGUGCUUGCCCCAAUUUGAAGAGCAGCGCACGGGUGAGUAACGCGUGGGGAAUCUGCCUUUGAGCGGGGGACAACAUUUGGAAACGCAUGCUAAUACCGCAUAACAACUUUAAACAUAAGUUUUAAGUUUGAAAGAUGCAAUUGCAUCACUCAAAGAUGAUCCCGCGUUGUAUUAGCUAGUUGGUGAGGUAAAGGCUCACCAAGGCGAUGAUACAUAGCCGACCUGAGAGGGUGAUCGGCCACAUUGGGACUGAGACACGGCCCAAACUCCUACGGGAGGCAGCAGUAGGGAAUCUUCGGCAAUGGACGAAAGUCUGACCGAGCAACGCCGCGUGAGUGAAGAAGGUUUUCGGAUCGUAAAACUCUGUUGGUAGAGAAGAACGUUGGUGAGAGUGGAAAGCUCAUCAAGUGACGGUAACUACCCAGAAAGGGACGGCUAACUACGUG